UGGGGAAUUUUGCACAAUGGGGGAAACCCUGAUGCAGCGACGCCGCGUGAUUUAGAAGGCCUUCGGGUUGUAAAAAUCUUUUUUACGGGAUGAAAAUGACAGUACCGUAAUAAUAAGGUCCGGCUAAAUACGUGCCAGCAGCCGCGGUAAUACGUAUGGACCGAGCGUUGUCCGGAAUCAUUGGGCGUAAAGGGUACGUAGGCGGCCUAGUAAGUUAGAAGUUAAAGAAUAUAGCUCAACUAUAUAAAGCUUUUAAAACUGCUAGGCUUGAGAGAUGGAAGGGAAAGUAGAAUUCCUAGUGUAGCGGUGAAAUGCGCAGAUAUUAGGAAGAAUACCGGUGGCGAAGGCGACUUUCUGGUCAUCAUCUGACGCUGAGGUACGAAAGCGUGGGUAGCAAACAGG
rnacentral:rRNA from 1 species